rnacentral:rRNA from 1 species
AUUGAACGCUGGCGGCAGGCUUAACACCUGCAAGUCGAACGAGUGGCGGACGGGUGAGUAAUGCUUGGGAAUCUAGCUUAUGGAGGGGGAUAACUACGGGAAACUGUAGCUAAUACCGCAUACCAUAGGAUGAGCCCAAGUGGGAUUAGGUAGUUGGUGAGGUAAAGGCUCACCAAGCCGACGAUCUCUAGCUGGUCGGAGAGGAUGACCAGCCAAACUGGGACUGAGACUCGGCCCAGACUCCUACGGGAGGCAGCAGUGGGGAAGAUUGCGCAAUGGGGGCAACCUGACGCAGCCAUGCCGCGUGAAUGAAGAAGGCCUGCGGGUUGUAAAGCACUUUCAGCGAGGAGGCGUUACUCGCAGAAGAAGCACCGGCUAACUCCGGGCCAGCCGCCGCGGUAAUUC